rnacentral:rRNA from 1 species
CCUACGGGAGGCAGCAGUGAGGAAUAUUGGUCAAUGGACGAGAGCCUGAACCAGCCAAGUAGCGUGAAGGAUGACUGCCCUAUGGGUUGUAAACUUCUUUUAUAUGGGAAUAAAAUGUGCCACGUGUGGAAUUUUGUAUGUACCAUAUGAAUAAGGAUCGGCUAACUCCGUGCCAGCAGCCGCGGUAAUACGGAGGAUCCGAGCGUUAUCCGGAUUUAUUGGGUUUAAAGGGAGCGUAGGUGGAUUGUUAAGUCAGUUGUGAAAGUUUGCGGCACAACCGUAAAAUUGCAGUUGAAACUGGCAGUCUUGAGUACAGUAGGGGUGGGCGGAAUUCGUGGUGUAGCGGUGAAAUGCUUAGAUAUCACGAAGAACUCCGAUUGCGAAGGCAGUUCACUGGACUGCAACUGACACUGAGGCUCGAAAGUGUGGGUAUCAAACAGGAUUAGAUACCCGGGUAGUC